CCGUCGCCGCCGGCGAGCGGCGCGGCUCUCCCUUCUUCGGCAUCUCUCCUCUCCCUGACCUCUGGUCCUCUCUCACCCUCUCGCCUCUGUCUGUCUAUCCGCCGUAAACAGGACGCACGCCGCCGUCAAAGCGGUGCGCCGCCGCUGCCUCCGUCGUCUUCGCGGCAGAUCCGCUGCCGCGUCAAGACCACGGCCACCACCUUUCCUCCCUUCGCUCGUUCUCACCUUCUCUCAAUUUCGCACUGACUCACACACACACACACGCACGCAGACACGGCGUAAGCCGCGCCACCGCGUCGUCCUCUUCUCGCCGGUGGACAGACGGCCAGGAGCCGCCGCCUCCGUCGUCCGUCGAAUUCAAGGAACGGAAACCACCACGUGGCUCCGCCGCCUCCCGUCGACCGCCGGCAGCCCCGCGACUGCCAUCCCCUGACCUCGACUCACACACACACAGCAGGGUUCAAGCCAUAAUUCAGUUCACAAAAUAGCAUAGGAUUUUUCUUAGCACAUAUCAUUCUCAUACUGUAAAUAUCAUAUAUAUCAAUUGCUUAUAACAUCUGAA